rnacentral:rRNA from 1 species
CUACGGGUGGCUGCAGUGGGGAAUAUUGCACAAUGGGCGCAAGCCUGAUGCAGCCAUGCCGCGUGUAUGAAGAAGGCCUUCGGGUUGUAAAGUACUUUCAGCGGGGAGGAAGGGAGUAAAGUUAAUACCUUUGCUCAUUGACGUUACCCGCAGAAGAAGCACCGGCUAACUCCGUGCCAGCAGCCGCGGUAAUACGGAGGGUGCAAGCGUUAAUCGGAAUUACUGGGCGUAAAGCGCACGCAGGCGGUUUGUUAAGUCAGAUGUGAAAUCCCCGGGCUCAACCUGGGAACUGCAUCUGAUACUGGCAAGCUUGAGUCUCGUAGAGGGGGGUAGAAUUCCAGGUGUAGCGGUGAAAUGCGUAGAGAUCUGGAGGAAUACCGGCGGCGAAGGCGGCCCCCUGGACGAAGACUGACGCUCAGGUGCGAAAGCGUGGGGAGCAAACAGGAUUAGAUACCUCGUAGUC